rnacentral:rRNA from 1 species
GUGCCAGCAGCCGCGGUAAUACAGAGGGUGCAAACGUUGUUCGGAAUCACUGGGCAUAAAGCGCGCGUAGGCGGCUCAUCAAGUGCAGAGUGAAAUCCCACGGCUUACCCGUGGAACUGCCCUGUAUACUGACGAGCUAGAGGACGGUAGGGGAGAGCGGAACUCUUGGUGGAGCGGUGAAAUGCGUAGAUAUCAAGAGGAACACCGAUGGCGAAGGCAGCUCUCUGGUCCGUUUCUGACGCUGAGGCGCGAAAGCUAGGGUAGCAAACGGGAUUAGAUACCCCGGUAGUCC